rnacentral:rRNA from 3 species
AUGGCUCAGAUUGAACGCUGGCGGCAGGCCUAACACAUGCAAGUCGAGCGGAUGACGAGAGCUUGCUCUCUGAUUCAGCGGCGGACGGGUGAGUAAUGCCUAGGAAUCUGCCUGGUAGUGGGGGACAACGUCUCGAAAGGGACGCUAAUACCGCAUACGUCCUACGGGAGAAAGCAGGGGACCUUCGGGCCUUGCGCUAUCAGAUGAGCCUAGGUCGGAUUAGCUAGUUGGUGAGGUAAUGGCUCACCAAGGCGACGAUCCGUAACUGGUCUGAGAGGAUGAUCAGUCACACUGGAACUGAGACACGGUCCAGACUCCUACGGGAGGCAGCAGUGGGGAAUAUUGGACAAUGGGCGAAAGCCUGAUCCAGCCAUGCCGCGUGUGUGAAGAAGGUCUUCGGAUUGUAAAGCACUUUAAGUUGGGAGGAAGGGUUGUAGAUUAAUACUCUGCAAUUUUGACGUUACCGACAGAAUAAGCACCGGCUAACUCUGUGCCAGCAGCCGCGGUAAUACAGAGGGUGCAAGCGUUAAUCGGAAUUACUGGGCGUAAAGCGCGCGUAGGUGGUUUGUUAAGUUGGAUGUGAAAGCCCCGGGCUCAACCUGGGAACUGCAUUCAAAACUGACAAGCUAGAGUAUGGUAGAGGGUGGUGGAAUUUCCUGUGUAGCGGUGAAAUGCGUAGAUAUAGGAAGGAACACCAGUGGCGAAGGCGACCACCUGGACUGAUACUGA